rnacentral:lncRNA from 1 species
UGAAGACCAUAAGCAGGAUAGGGAAUAGGUUUGCACAUCUCUUGCCUGAAUCACUGAAUUUUUACAAAAGAUGUAACUUCAUACCCACACUUUGAUGAGACUUUACUUGUAUUAACCCAUUUUCAUACUGCUAUGAAGAAAUACCCAAGACUGCAUAAUUUCUAAAGAAAAAGGCUUAGUGGACUCACAGUUCCACAUGGCUGGGGAAGCCUCACAAUCAUGGUAGAAGAUGAAGAAGGAGCAAAGGCACAUCUUACAUGGCAGCAGGUGAG